rnacentral:tRNA from 1 species
GGGAGUGUAGCGCAGCCGGUUAGCGCGUUUGCUUGACAUGCAAAAGGUCGCGGGUUCGAAUCCCGCCACGCCCA